UGAACGCUUGUAACUGCUUUACACAUGCAAGUCGAAUGGUCUUCAUUUAUGAAUAAACCACGGCGAACGGGUGAGUAAUACUUGGGAAUUUGCCUUAUAGUUUGGAGUAACUAAUUUAUUUAGGAGUACCAAAUAUUGAAAGAAGUUGCUUUUAUAAGCUUAAAUCUUUGCUAUAAGAUAAGCCUGAGCAAGAUUAGGUAGUUGGUAGGGUAAUAGCCUACCAAGCCGAAGAUCUUUAGUUGGUCUGAGAGGACGACCGGCCACACUGGGACUGAGACACGGCCCAGACUCCCUAGGGAGGCAGCAGUGAGGAAUAUUGGACAAUGGGCGAAAGCCUGAUCCAGCAAUGUUACGUGGGUGAUUAAGGCUAUUUUGGUCGUAAAACCCUCUCAGUGGAAAUGAUAAUGACAGUAUCCACAGAAGAAGUCCCGGCUAAUUCGGUGCCAGC
rnacentral:rRNA from 1 species